GGGUGCAAUCAUACAAGGACUAAUGCACCGGAUCCUAUCAGAACUCCGCAGUUAAGCGUGCUUGGGCGAGAGUAGUACUAGAUUGGGUGACCUCUUAGGAAGUCCUCGUAUUGUAGCCC
rnacentral:rRNA from 1 species